AGCUGAUCAGCAUGCGCGUGGUGAGAGUCUCGAUGUAAGCAUUAGUUGGAGAGGCAUACUAUACGUAGGUUUGACGUACGACAGAUAGCACGCUACUCUGUGCAGCAGC
rnacentral:rRNA from 1 species